rnacentral:rRNA from 1 species
AAAUUGAAGAGUUUGAUCAUGGCUCAGAUUGAACGCUGGCGGCAGGCCUAACACAUGCAAGUCGAACGGUAACAGGAAACAGCUUGCUGUUUCGCUGACGAGUGGCGGACGGGUGAGUAAUGUCUGGGAAACUGCCUGAUGGAGGGGGAUAACUACUGGAAACGGUAGCUAAUACCGCAUAACGUCGCAAGACCAAAGAGGGGGACCCUCGGGCCUC